rnacentral:lncRNA from 1 species
GUCUUGUCUCAUUUACUCACUCUGAUGAAGCAAGCUGCUGUGAUACGAGCUGCUGUAAAAACGGAGGCCUCCAGACCAACAGCCAGGGAGUAGAGGAGAGACUCACAUUAGUGGCCACUGGACCAGUGGGAGGAAGAGCUUAUGGGAAGAGACUUCUUUGGCUCAUCUCAUGUUACAUCUUGGAGUGACCUCAAAGGCCCCAUCCCAGAAGGCACAGCCACAAAAAACGUGGCCUCCACCAGCAUGGAUCCCUGAAUGUAAUGGGAUCAGAGCCUCCUGCCCACACCUGGUAAGUAUAUAUCAUGAGUAAUAAAUCAACCUUUUGAUAUUAAGCCACUAAGAUUUCAGACGUAAUUUUUAUUGCAGCAUGAAGUAAAGUAUCUUUUAAAAGUAAUCUUUUAAAUAUUACUAUUUUAAAGGAGCAAGAAAAUUACAUUUUUUCCACUAUCUUAAGAUGUAUAAAACGUGUUGCUUUCUGUAGCAGAUUUUUUAAAAGACAAUUUAGUCAACAAAUACUUUUGUCUUUAAAUCCUGACAUGCACAAUAGCACAAGCUCAGU